UACGAAGGGGACUAGCGUUGUUCGGAAUCACUGGGCGUAAAGCGCGCGUAGGCGGACAUUUAAGUCAGGGGUGAAAUGCCGAGGCUCAACCUCGGAACUGCCUUUGAUACUGGGUGUCUGGAGUUCGGGAGAGGUUGGUGGAAUUCCGAGUGUAGAGGUGAAAUUCGUAGAUAUUCGGAGGAACACCAGAAGCGAAGGCGGCCAACUGGCCCGAAACUGACGCUGAGGCGCGAAAGCGUGGGGAGCAAACAGG
rnacentral:rRNA from 1 species